CACGUAGGGGGGCGAGCGUUGUCCGGAAUCAUUGGGCGUAAAGAGCGUGUAGGCGGCCAGGUAGGUCUGCUGUGAAAACUCGAGGCUUAACCUCGAGAUGUCGGCGGAAACCAUCUGGCUAGAGUCCGGAAGAGGAGAAUGGAAUUCCCGGUGUAGCGGUGAAAUGCGCAGAUAUCGGGAAGAACACCCGUGGCGAAGGCGGUUCUCUGGGACGGUACUGGACGCUGAGACGCGAAAGCGUGGGGAGCGAACAGG
rnacentral:rRNA from 1 species